rnacentral:rRNA from 1 species
UACGGAGGAUGCAAGCGUUAUCCGGAAUGAUUGGGCGUAAAGCGUCCGCAGGUGGCUAUGUAAGUCUGCUGUUAAAGAGUGAGGCUCAACCUCAUAAGAGCAGUGGAAACUACAUGGCUAGAGUGCGUUCGGGGCAGAGGGAAUUCCUGGUGUAGCGGUGAAAUGCGCAGAUAUCAGGAAGAACACCCGUGGCGAAGGCGGCUCUCUGGGACGGUACUGACGCUGAGACGCGAAAGCGUGGGGAGCGAACAGG